rnacentral:rRNA from 1 species
GAUUCUGGCUCAGGAUGAACGCUGGCGGCGUGCCUAACACAUGCAAGUCGGGCGAAGCACUUUGCUUAGAUUCUUCGGAUGAAGAGGAUUGUGACUGAGCGGCGGACGGGUGAGUAACGCGUGGGUAACCUGCCUCAUACAGGGGGAUAACAGUUAGAAAUGACUGCUAAUACCGCAUAAGACCACAGCACCGCAUGGUGCGGGGGUAAAAACGUACCGUGGUAUGAGAUGGACCCGCGU